AGAUAAAAAAAGCCCGGAACCAAUCCAGAUUGUUCCGGGCAUAGGGGAAUGGCUCAAUGGAUGAGCCGUGCGCUAACUCGGUGACUGUUUAAGAGGUUAAAGCUGAGCCAGAUUGGCGGUAUCGAACGUUGUCAAAAAACCAUUCAGCGACUGCUUAACUUUUAAACAAUGAGUAACUUUUUAGUCUAGCCAAAAAAAACCUGAUUGCUAAUUU
rnacentral:sRNA from 1 species